UAAAGUUUUAAAUAAUAUAGGUAUAUCACAUACUAAUUACAGAAACAAUUAAUAACAAAUACUUUAUAUACAAUAAAAUAUAAAAAAUUUAUAGUUAAAUAACUUAGUUGCUAUAAAUGAAGAACAAAACCAGAAAGUUUGAAUUCAAACCCUCGAGACUAUAUAUAUACUCUCUCGUUUGCCUUAUUUAAGCGCGUAUCGGUAUGCACAUUUUAGUAAAAAUUGUAUUUAAUUAUUCCGUUCAAUCUGUACCUAUACAUUUAAAUAUUUAAUAAUAAUAUACAUAACAUAAACGAAGUGUUAUAUUGGUACGCAUCAUCAAUCAAUAUAUAUCACGGGUGCGGAAGUAAUAGUACCUAUAUUAGUAUUAUUUAUGAUAGGUACCUAAAAGCAUACUCUAAGUACACAUAUAAGAGCAUAUAUGAUGAUAUUCGGCCAAAUGUCAAGCGAAAUCGCUGUAAUAAUAUAUAACGACUAAUGACUAAUGAUGAUAGUGAUUGGUGGCCAAACCUUUUAUACAUUUUUCCAACCGAAAUUUAAUAUAUAUAUUAUAUAAUAUAUCUAUUAUAACUCAUAAAUACCAUAAAACAUUUAUUUUACACGCCGACGAAGACGUUUCCAUGUACAGGAAGUCAUAUUCAGACAGGGUCUAAUGAGUUCGACGUGAUAUAUGUUAUGUAGGCUAUAUGAGUUUAACCUAUACCUAACCGAAUUUCAUGUUAAAAAUGUGCGUUGCAUAAUUCGUCGACGAUCGUUUCAAAUAUACGCACACGAAUCUGGUUUUCGUAUUCUUAUACAGACACACUGAUGUUGCGUAGUUACAUUAUUGUUUAUUUAUAAAGGCGGCAAAUGGAGAAGUAGAUCGACAAAAAAAAACCAACCAAUAACCUACAAACGGAAUAUCGACGAGACAACUUCAUUUAAACGUAUGCUGCAGCAUUUAUUAGAAUAAAUACCACGGUAACGGUUUACAGCAUUAUAUGAUUUUGAAUACAUACAAAACGAAAUAAAUGAAACACUAAGAAUUACAACUAAAAGUACUUAGGAUGUCCUAGCCCCUAUAGAAUUACACCCACGUUUUAUUUAUCCGAGUUUUGCAAAUGCUAGAGAUGAAAUCGGAUAUUCAAAUGUCGCGAUAUAUAAUACCGUUGUUUUUGGGGUAUGAGUGGACCAGAAUAUCGGUUUUAGUUCAUACCAGAUGUUCAGAUUUUCAAGGGAUUUUUAAUUUGGGUAUACAAAGCUCGUACAAAGCUCUGGUUCUAGUACCUAUAUACUAUAUAGUCGUAUAGUUUAAGUAGUAUUGUGAUCUACUGGCUAUGAACGUAUAUAUUUAUAAUGAUAAAAUAUUUUGGUAACUCAAGUAAAUCAACAGUAGAAAUAUAAUAUCCGGUGAAAAAUGUUGGCAAACGGCGUUACGAAUAUGUAUGUAUAACAACAGGUUACACGCUCCAAAAGCGCAAAUUCUAGUAAAACGCGUCGUUCGGUUUCAUUGCAGUAAAUCGACGUAUUUUAUAUAAAUAUAUAUAUAUAAUAUAAAUACAAAUAUAAAUGUAUUAUACAUACAUAA